rnacentral:piRNA from 1 species
UACACUGGAGUGGAGUGCUUUGUGGAUGUC